AAAAAAAGAAGACGAGUAUACAAAAGUGUUGUGUGUUGUGAUGUGGUGAAAGGCACAGGUACAUUGCUGGGAGGGGUUAAAGGAGAGGGCAUGUGUUUGAAGGUCAGGGCAGGCUCUUUAGAGGGAUAGCAUUUGCUAACUUAGUGAUAGGCAGUUUGUUGCAUUAUGGAACUUGUAGUUGAACAUUUUUCUCCUUUAUUAAAUGUUAGAAGUCUUGGAAAGGACUAUAUCCUGCUAAAUUUUACUCUUUAGGUACUGUAAUUUGGGAGUCACCUAUAAAUACAGGUCGGGUUCUCUUGGUUCACUCACUUUCCAGAUACCCGAAGUUACUAUUGAGUGAACAUUCCUUCUGCCUGCACAUGCAGCAGUCUUCCAGGCAAAUACUAACCUUGGCUGGUACUUGGUGAUGCACACUACCAAUACCAAGCCUUUUUUUCUCUUCCACAGGUGGCUGGUGAAGGUGCUGAUCACCACAGAUGAGUUUGAUGCCUACAUCAUUGUGUCUUUCGUGAAUGCCACCCUAGUGUUGUCCAUUGGAGAAACUGUAGAAGAAGUGACUGACUCUGGGUUCCUGGGGACCACCCCGACCUUGUCCUGCUCCUUAUUAGGAGAUGAUGCCUUGGUGCAGGUCUAUCCAGAUGGCAUUCGGCACAUACGAGCAGACAAGAGAGUCAAUGAGUGGAAGACCCCUGGAAAGAAAACAAUUGUGAAGUGUGCAGUGAACCAGCGACAAGUGGUGAUUGCCCUGACAGGAGGAGAGCUGGUCUAUUUCGAGAUGGAUCCUUCAGGACAGCUGAAUGAGUACACAGAACGGAAGGAGAUGUCAGCAGAUGUGGUGUGCAUGAGUCUGGCCAAUGUACCCCCUGGAGAGCAGCGGUCUCGCUUCCUGGCUGUGGGGCUUGUGGACAACACUGUCAGAAUCAUCUCCCUGGAUCCCUCAGACUGUUUGCAACCUCUAAGCAUGCAGGCUCUCCCAGCCCAGCCUGAGUCCUUGUGUAUCGUGGAAAUGGGUGGGACUGAGAAGCAGGAUGAGCUGGGUGAGAGGGGCUCGAUUGGCUUCCUAUACCUGAAUAUUGGGCUACAG
rnacentral:sRNA from 1 species